rnacentral:lncRNA from 1 species
GGCCAGAGUAUGAAUGAGAUUUAGGAAGUCGUUCCAAAUCUCAUUCAAGGUAAUCAUAUAAGCACAUGUAUCACAUUGGAUAGUAGACACGAAUAAACUAUUAAUCCAAACAAUGUGGUCAAGAGUAUUGUAUUAGAGAAAGACCGUAUUGCAUUGUAAUCCUAAACUGAAUAGGUUCUCCACCUCUUCUUAUUAGCUUGGGUAACCAUGAUAUGCUACUAGGUGUCACUCAUGGUUUGUGGAAGCCCUAAACGUGUAUAAUCACUAAAGGGAAAAUUGAAAGUAAGUUUCAAUUCAUAAUCGAUUUGAAAUGGUUUUAAUCGCCCACUGCCUCGCUAAAAGGAACCUAAUGGAUCGUACACCAUGUAAGGCAGAGAUUGAAGAAACAAUGGAGAUGAGUAAGAAUAA